rnacentral:rRNA from 1 species
GAUGAACGCUGGCGGUGUGCCUAAUACAUGCAAGUCGAGCGACCGGACGAGAAGCUUGCUUCUCUGCUGUUAGCGGCGGACGGAUGAGUAACACAUGGAUAACCUACUUAUAAUUCUUGGAUAACUUCGGAAAAACGUUGAUGAUAAUGGAUCAUAUUUUGUACCGGUUGAUUCAAAAGUGCUUGACACUCUUGCUGAUUGUAAUAGAUGAAUCCGCGCUGGAUUAGCUAGUUGGUAAGGUAACGGCCCACCAAGGCGACGAUGCGUAGCUGGUCUGAGAGGAUGAUCAGCCACACUGGAACUGAGACACGGUCCAGACUCCUACGGGAGGCAGCAGUGGGGAAUAUUGGACAAUGGGCGCAGGCCUGAUCCAGCCAUACCGCGUGGGUGAAGAAGGCCUUCGGGUUGUAAAGCCCUUUUGUUGGGAAAGAAAAGCAGCGGGUUAAUACCCCGCUGUUCUGACGGUACCCAAAGAAUAAGCACCGGCUAACUUCGUG